UCCCUGGUAGUAUAUCGGUUUAGUACACGCGCCUGUCAUACCCGAUCUAUUACCGUGGCAAACGCGCGAAAGCUGGGUUCGACUCCCAGCCAGGGAG
rnacentral:tRNA from 1 species